rnacentral:pre_miRNA from 1 species
AGCUUUUCAAAUCCGUGCUGAGAUUUCAUCAGAUACCAACCGAUUACGACUGAUCAGACUUCCAAGGUAGGUGAAGUU